CUCCUACGGGAGGCAGCAGUGAGGAAUAUUGGUCAAUGGACGCAAGUCUGAACCAGCCAAGUAGCGUGCAGGAUGACGGCCCUCCGGGUUGUAAACUGCUUUUAGUUGGGAAUAAAAAAGAUCACGUGUGGUCUAUUGUAUGUACCUUCAGAAAAAGGACCGGCUAAUUCCGUGCCAGCAGCCGCGGUAAUACGGAAGGUCCAGGCGUUAUCCGGAUUUAUUGGGUUUAAAGGGAGCGUAGGCGGAUUAUUAAGUCAGUGGUGAAAGACGGUGGCUCAACCGUCGUUAGCCAUUGAAACUGGUAGUCUUGAGUGCAGACAGGGAUGCUGGAACUCGUGGUGUAGCGGUGAAAUGCUUAGAUAUCACGAUGAACUCCGAUCGCGAAGGCAGGUGUCCGGGCUGCAACUGACGCUGAGGCUCGAAAGUGUGGGUAUCAAACAGGAUUAGAUACCCUGGUAGUCCACACAGUAAACGAUGUAUACUCGCGGUUUGCGAUACAGUGUAAGCCGCCAAGCGAAAGCAUUAAGUAUACCACCUGGGGAGUACGCCGGCAACGGUGAAACUCAAAGGAAUUGACGGGGGCCCGCACAAGCGGAGGAACAUGUGGUUUAAUUCGAUGAUACGCGAGGAACCUUACCCGGACUUGAACUAAGAGUGACGAACCAAGAGAUUGGUUUUUCUUCGGACACUCUUGGAGGUGCUGCAUGGUUGUCGUCGGCUCGUGCCGUGAGGUGUCGGCUUAAGUGCCAUAACGAGCGCAACCCUUUUCCUUGGUUGCCAUCAGGUAAUGCUGGGCACUCCAGCGAUACUGCCAUCGUAAGAUGUGAGGAAGGUGGGGAUGACGUCAAAUCAGCACGGCCCUUACGUCCGGGGCUACACACGUGUUACAAUGGGGGGUACAGAAGGCCGCUACCUGGCGACAGGAUGCUAAUCUUUAAAACCUCUCUCAGUUCGGAUCGGAGUCUGCAACCCGACUCCGUGAAGCUGGAUUCGCUAGUAAUCGCGCAUCAGCCAUGGCGCGGUGAAUACGUUCCCGGGUCUUGUACACACGC
rnacentral:rRNA from 1 species